rnacentral:lncRNA from 1 species
UUCUUUCUCCUUGAGUAUGUCUUCUGCUGCUCCUUAUCACUUCCCUAACAGCUUUCAUGAGUUUCCCACAAAUCUUUUACAUUUAUUUUAAUUACACAAGAUCACCUUAAUGACGGUUUCCUACCACUAAGGCACUACCAUUAGCUUAACCAGUUAGUCUUUUUGUAAGAAGUCUCAUAUGUUAUUGAGGAGGAGAUCUAAAUAUUUUUGAAUUUUACAUUCUAUUGUAUCAUAUCAAAAGGAAAUUUAGAACUUAGUUACUUCUAAAAGAUUAGACAAAGAAAAGGUAUAGAGAGUUAUGCUAGGAUAUACAUCAUCCUGGCUCCUGUGGAGUUGGCUCUGAUGAUCAACACUUACAUUAGUCAUAAAGAGCUGGAAUCUGCUUCAAUUGGACAAUUUUAUUCAUCUAACGGGAUAUACAUUUCAUCAACGCAUGGACAUAAAAAAAAGUUUACAUUUAUUCAUUUAAUUCAGCGAACUAUAAGAGUAGUAUGACUUUAUAUUGGAAAAAAUCAAAGUCCCAUAUUAGUUAGGUCAAGAUAAAAUAUAUAAAUAUGGGACAAUCCUUACUAUAUAAGUUAGUUUUUGGGGUUGAGUUAGACUCAAAUCUACAUUCUAAGGUGGUAUCGGAGCUUAUCCUAGAUUCAUUCAAAAGGUCACCUGCCAUGUUAUCCACAUACCAAACCCAAAAGUAAAUUAGGUUCAAACUCACAUUUUAAGACUUUAAAUCUUGAUCCUCUAUGUAUGAUUUAUAUGGCUUACAUUUAUUCCUCUCACUCAUAAAAAUGACUCUCACUAGAUAUGCUCUCUAUAUAUGUAUGCCUGUGUCAUAAUAAAUUUGUUAUUUGAUAUGAAAAAUAAAUUAAUAUAUUUUCUAAUAAUAGAUAUUACAUUUUUUAUGUAACCUUCUAAAAGUCAAAAACAUUGUAAUUGAAUUGAUAUUAUUCUAAUCUGAGAAGUUCAAUAGGUUAGAGAUUAAAAAUAAUUAGUUUAAUAUGAGAAUUUAAUAUUUUAAACAUGCUGAUGUGGGUCAUAACAUGAUAGUUUAUAUUUGUAAAAUUUUGAAAUCAGUUAGAGUAGUUCUUCACUACUUUUAUUUAAAAUCAAAUAAUGAUGGGGGCAGCUUGUUACUUCUCUAUUCAAAUCUUGAAUUUUGUUGUUUUUAUUUUUAUUAUAAAACUUUAUUUUCAUAGAUCCAACAUACAUGAUUCGGGCUAUUGCAAGUAAUGCCUCGGACAACAUUUACUGCACUCUUCUUGCUCAUGGUGCUGUUCAUGGAGCUAUGGCUGGAUAUACUGGCUUCACAGUCGGGCCUGUGAACAGUAAACAGGCUUAUAUCCCAAUUGCCGUGAGUGGUUCAUUCCAUUAGCUCAUUUUUAUAUUCAAUUCACGUAAAUUACUUUUAUUGCUAAAAAUUAUGCUGCGCUUAACAAUUUUAGUAUUUUGUGGUUGUUUUGUUUUAAUUAUUUUCUGAUACAUUUUUGUAUUUUUUUUAACCACCUUUAGAUUUUUCUAACUCAAAUAUCUUCUGUAGGUUAUUAGUUUUUACAGAUUACAAUUCAAUAGAAAACCUUCCUAGACUAAAACAGCAAGGAUUGUGGAAUAGAAUAAUAGUAUAUAUGAAAUAUCUUUUGAAUUUAGCCAUAGAAUGAAUUCCAUGACUUCCAGACUUAGCAUUCAUUCUCAUCAUUCAAAAGGCUAACUGUUCCAAAUGCACGAGCUGCACCCCUGUUAGAAUAAGCCUUGUAGUAGUUUUGAUUCUUAUUGUUGAAGAAGCUUUCCUAAUGUCCACCUGGAUUCUCCGCUAACUGUUCCAAAUGCACGAGCUGCACCCCUGUUAGAAUAAGCCUUGUAGUAGUUUUGAUUCUUAUUGUUGAAGAAGCUUUCCUAAUGCCCACCUGGAUUCUCCUCUAACAACCUGCUAUGUUUUCUUUCCAUUUGGCAAUCUUCUACACAAGCAAAAAAUAUAUAUAUUUUCUUUUAUUCUGAUAUGCAUCGAGGAAAAUACCAUAAAUGAGUCUUUUGAAGAGACUCUCUUUUAUUGGAAAAAAAAAACUGAACUGAUCUAACUAGGACUAACCAUUUAGAAAAGUUAGAUAGUAGAUGACUGAAGAGAAGAAAGCUUGCCUGCCAGCCAGGCACAAAAAUCAAGAUGAUUUUUUUUUCUUGAAAAAAAAUCCCAGGAGGUUGAUAAAAUUUCUUGAAUUUGAACUCUGGAAAUAGACUCACCACGAAAUCCACUUCCUCCAUCUGACACUACAGCAUCAUUAUCAAGAAAACUGAAGCUCUUUUUAGUUCCAUUACAAACACCAUCUGAGACUUUUCAAGAUUAAGUUGAAUCUGGCUAUCAACUUUUAUAACAUACUCCAUUUUUCUUUUCUUAUUAUAACUGGAUAUCUUAAGUGGAAAGACAUUGAUAGUUUGAUGAUAAUUGUUCUAUAUAUAACUACUUUCUCUUAAGUGUGUAUGAUUUAUUGGAAGGACUAUCUUGGCACUUCACUAUUAUGGGAAAUAAUUAUUGGCCUUUCACUCAUUUAGAGGAGGGAUCUAGUUAUUUCAAGAAUAAUUUUAAAAAAGUUACUCUUCAUCUUAAUCAUUGAUUUUCUUGAAAUCGAAUGGUUAAGAUUAGUUACUUACUAUAAUUAUUAGAUUUCAAGAAAAUGAAUGAUGAAGAUGUGAAAUCAUUCUAAAGAAUUAUUUUUGGAGUAAGUUAAUUCCUUCUCGUUUAGGUAACUGGAAAUUAUGUCUUGUUUCUCAAUCUCAUAUGUUAUGCUUUUAUUUGUUUUUCCUCGCAUUAUGAUCUGAUCAUCGAACAUCUUGUUGCAGUGUGUGAUGGAGAAACAAAAUAAGGUCAAGCUGACUGAUAGGAUGUGGGCUAGACUUCUUGCAUCGACGAAUCAACCAAGUUUCGUUGCCUAUGAUCAAGAAAGAGUCGAGAAAGAUAUAAAUAACAUGAAUAUUACCUCUCAAACUAGAUUUAAUAGGUAUUUUGAUUGAUUGAUGCGAAUUGAUUAGUCAGAGAAUGGAUUAUCAUUUAGCAUAUGGGGGCUGAUAGUACCCAUUCAUUUAUUUGUAUUUUAUUAAUUGGGCAGUUGACAUGUUGAAUGAAAAUCAGAAUUUAAUAAAUUUAUAUACCAGCAUGAUAGUUCCACUACACGAUACGCCCACACUCAAUCUGUACACUUUACGCGCCUAGAAUGUGUUUAUUUACAUAUUAAAAAAAUGGUUAAAAACUGUUUUAAAGAGCUUCAUAUUAGCAUUUGCAUUUGCAUUUAGUGAGCAAGCAUAGCAUGAUUUUGCUAUAUUGUUUUCGUGUACUUGAUGAAAUCAAUUUUUUUUUUUUAUGUAUUUCGUGUGCUUCUGUUUUAUUUAUUUUUAAAAUGCUCUAAAUGGCUAAAUAUGGAAAUAUCAUGCUAUGGUUAUCGUACUUCUCUGAACGACUUAAGGCUUCAUCUGCCUUAAUCUAACUGCUUUGAAAUGGUUUUCAGCAUGGAUUUAGACUAGUCUUUGGAUGAUGCAUUAACAUAUGGUGCAUGAUACUGCCUUUUUUUUUUUUUCUUUUUUCUUUUUUCUUUUUUGUAUUUCUUAAUAGGGAAGUUGACAUGUUGAAAUAGCCUCUUUGCUUAUGGUGACACGGCUGCAGCCACAGACAUAAAUGAAACUAGAAUACAUAUAACAAUAUCAAUGUCUUACGUCAGUCUUGUGUUUAAAAAGUGAAAUUCCACAUUUACUUGCUUAUAAAUUCUGUUUUAAUAAAAUUAGAGAAAAUAAAUUAUACAAUUCAUAAUAUAAAAUAAUUUUAUAUUGUCAUCUAAUCAUAACUAAGUGAUAAAUUUAUUGACUUUUAUGAUAACUACUUUAAAAGUUAUAUCAACAAUGAUUUAUAAUUGGAUACAACAACAACAACAACAACGCCUUAUCCCACUAGGUGGGGUCGGCUACAUGGAUCAACUUCCGCCAUAAGAAAUAUACUGAAUCAAUUCAAUUGUAACUUCAAAUAUGGAAUUCAAAUCUAUAAAAUAAGAAAUGAUAUUCUAAAUCAUCUAACUUAUUUUUAUUUCUCGAAUGGAGAUAUCUAUAAAUCAGGAUCUUAAUGCAUAUAGAUACAAAUGGUCCAAUGGAAGCAAUAAUUUUCAGAAAUAUUUGGAUUAUUUUAUUAUUGUGCAUGAUCAUUAAAAUCAUAACGGAAAAUAAAAAAGUGAUUUAGAGGAAAUGAGACAAUCUUGGCUUGUGUCUACUAACUGUUAUACUAGUUGCAGCGACAUUUGCACAAAACUAAAUUAUAUCUGUACCAAACAGGAAAAUAAAAAAACUUUAUUUGUCAAUUGUAUUAGAGAUAAGAUCUAUGACUUCUAUUCUGCUUUGCUUGUUUUGGCUAAACCACUGCGCAAGUGUAUGGACUAUACAUCUGCCUACGAGGGUGCUUUGAUGUGAUUUGUUUAAAAUAUCAAAAUUAAUGUCCUUAAAUGUUUUGAUACAAGUUGAAAGAUGAGUGUCCAAAUGUAUUAAUCAUAUCAUUAAAGCAGCAGCCUUUUUUCUAGCUUGCAAUGCAAUGUAUACUAAUCAGCAAGAUACAUACCAAAAACAACUUGCUGACUCUUGGCAUUGCAAGUUGCCAAGUUUCUUGUCCCUAUUUGUUUACUUGAUUUAUUUUCCCUUGUAGAAAACAGCUGUAAUGCUAGCUGCCAAUGACCAAGUUGAGUAUCUAACUAAUAAUGAUUUUGUUGCUUCAAUGUGGGUUACCACAGAAGACUAUUUAAUUUGGAUAAGAUUAUGUACGUUUAGUGUGACAACCGUGUAUUAAGGACUCCAUUCCCAUCAACUAGACACACGUAACUAGAUAAUCAAUUCCGAUGUAUCUUGUCGAAAAAAUUAGUUCAGUUGUUAAGGAUCAGACUUAUAUCUUACUAAGACAUGAAUUUGAAUCUCACUGACGAUUUUAAAGACCUUCUUGGUGGCUGAUAUGUAAAUACCUUAUUCUUUGAGUCUUAUGGCUUACUAGAUAAACUCUGGAAUCCAACUCGUCUAAACUUUUUCUCAGAUAAAAAAUAUCUGAUGUAUCACAUCCAAAAGUAGGGCCCCUUUUUUAGUAUAUAUAUAUAUAUCUUUUCUGCAUCACAAAUUCAACCUCCUACUCCUUCCAAAAAUUCUUAAGGAUGGCCACAGCAGAAGAAAUUUCAACUUUGAAACUGUUGCGCCAAUAUCUCUUGGGGGAUAUUUCAGACCCUUUUCUCACCAAUCUCAUUCCAGUAAAACUUGAAGACCCCUCAUCAGGACUUGAUAUGGGUUCAAACUUCUCAGAACAAAGCAGCUUCUGCAAGUUUCUGGAGUGCUUUGAUUUUGAAGCAGAAGUGGUAGGUCUCACUUCUCAUCAUAAGGUCCAAAGCUCCAUUGCAACAAGUCCACCCCAGAAUUUCAAUUUUCCAGAAGAACCAAUGGUGUCAAUGAAAAAGGAAGCAACAUGUUAUGCAACAAGGCAUUACAGAGGAGUGAGGAGAAGGCCAUGGGGGAAGUUUGCGGCAGAGAUUCGCGACCCCAAAAAGAAAGGGAGCAGGGUGUGGCUUGGCACAUUUGACACUGAGAUUGAUGCUGCUAAGGCUUAUGAUUGUGCUGCCUUCAGAAUGAGGGGUCAUAAAGCCGUGUUGAAUUUCCCUCUAGAGGCUGGAAUGUCUCAUCCAGAGCCCAACAGCAGUGGCAGGAAAAGGAGAAGAGAGUACACAACAGCUGCCACAAGUUCAAGGCAUGUUAUGUCAUGAGAAAUAAUUCAGUGUGGGAGAACCAUGUUUUUCUUUUGGCAUUUUUUGCCAGUUACACAAGUUAAAGCAAGGUUUUAUAGUUACACUACAGUUGAGCAUGAUGAGAUCUGUUAUUUAAAUCCUUGAGUUAUGGUUAAGGGUGAAAUUGAAUUAAACCCAAGAAUGAAACAGCUCAUAAAGAAACCUACUUCUACUUUUUUAUACAAGGCUCUCAAAGUAGAAUGUGUGAUAGUCACCACUCACCUUAGUUCAUUAGAUAAUGAGGAAAAUUCUUAUUGCAUCUUAACUUUAUCUUUAUUCUCAGGAUUACUAACCAUAUCGAUAGUGGCUUGUUUUCAUCAUUUACUGUAAUAGUCAGCUUUUUUCACAAGGAUAAGGUAUUAUGGGAUGUUCAGUGGAGUAUUUAAGUGGCUUGGCUUUCCCUUCUUAAUUGGCAGCUAAGUUAUAAGGGAGGGUUUCCCAAGUGCUUGGAUAUGACAAUGAUUUUUGCUUUCCUAGUUACUUAAUUAUAAUUAUAGGAUUUAUUAGAAUUUAUCAUUUCCUAUUUUUUACUCAAAUUUUACUUGUAAAGAAUGUACAACGACUUGUGAAUAUAAAUGAGGAAAAUAAUCUUGUCUCCUAUCUUGACAUGGUAUCAGAGUCAUCUAGGCUUUCACCAAGAGUGGGUGCUAACUGCUAAGAGUGUGAAAAUGGCAUAAAGUCAUACAGAAAAUGACUGAUCAAAUAUGGAAAAAAUAUAGAAGAGAAAUGUGAGUCAUAAUGAUUAGAGAUGGUGAAGAAAACUCCAUCUCCAUUGAGUUCAAACGACUACCCAGGAAGUGUGGUCAUCUAAGUUGAGUUACAAGGUGAGGAUUAUGAAGAAUGUUCAUACAAAUAUUGCUCAAACUUUGGGAUGGCUGCCUCGGCAAAAGAUGCAGACAAAGGCAGGUUCACAAGCCUGAGCAAAUUCUAGUUGAUGCGUUGAACAAUAAUAAAAGAAAUAGUGCUAAAAGGAUGAUAUUUAAAGAAACAAUGUGGAUUAUUGAUACAAGAGCGUCUCAUCACAAGAAUGAAAAUUUGACACUUUAAUUUCGUGCAAGAAUUGCCAAAUGGAGAGCAAGUAGUGACAACUAAGGACGAAAUUGUGAUCCUUCAAACUUAGCAAUGUUUUAUAUAUACGUUCCUAUAUUGAAUUGUAACUUAACCUCAGUGUCUCAAUUGGUAGAUGAUUGCAGAUAUUGUACAAUUCAGUUUCCUAAAUUUAUGCUAUUCAAGAACUUGCCUUGAGGACGAUGAUUGGAGUGGGCGAACAAAGAAACGAGCUCUACUAUUUUAGAGGAGUUCGACAUGAGAAAGCUUAAAAACUUGGCAAAGUAUCUUUGUUUGAUUUUUGGCAUUGACACGUAUGACAUCCUUUAUUGAAGAAUACUUAGUUAAUCUCAAAGGUUAGUAGAAAAAAAUAAAAUUAUUCUCAUAGUAACUAUUUUUGAAUUCCUAAGGUUUUGGGGUGUUUCGGUGCAUGGUGAUGAAGAAGAGGUUGUGUUUUUUUUGGGUAAUGUGAGUUUGAAGACAAAAAUGAAGUGAAGAGAGAAAGGGAAAACAAUAUAUACGCAGAUCUGACUGCUAAAUGUUGGCGGAAUGACAAAUCCUUAAUGUUGUUGACGCUGAACACUGAACAGUCUCUGACUUACAUAAUUUAGAAGUUUUUUUUUUUUGUAUCCAGAAAAAUAAAUCCAAAAUUCUUGUAACAUAUAAGUGUUCUGGAUUACUCAAUCCAGAACUAUGUUAGAAGAAUUCGGGAAGAGCAAAUUUAUAGGGCCAACUUACUGUUUCCGCUAUCUAACAUAGAAGAAGGAGGAAGACAGAAAGAGGAAAACAACUAUUGUUUCAUUGACAGACGGGGGGAGAAAGAAAGGUUAACUUGGGGAUAUAAAAAAUCAUGGGGUGCAGGAAGUAAAGGCCUGUUUCAUUCUUAUCAUUGGGCUUGUACAAGCCCAACUUUUCUUUUUGUUUACACUUCUAUUGGUUCUUGCUAUUUACUCUACCAUUUUUUAAGUAUAUCCCCAUAUCCCCCUUUUUGUCUUUCAAUUACCAAUUAUAUAAUUUUUCUUAAAAAAGUACACCCCUUUAAAUUUUUAGAAAUGUAUUUUUGGAAUUACAUAUAUCCAUUCCAAAAAUGUAUCUCCGAAACUAUAACUCAUACUUACAGAGAUAUACUUUCAUAAUAAUUAUAUGUUUUUCAAUAAAAUAUCACCGAAGAAUUAAAAUAGUUGGCGAUAAAUAAAAAAUGAUAAGCACUUUAUCUUAUACCUAUCUUUGUUAGUUUUAUUUUCAGCAUAUCAUUAGUGUGCUUUAAAUCUUAUCUAAAAUUUUAUUUUCAUCUUAUCUUUAUUAUUCCUUAGACCCUAAUUUUAAACUAUUUUCACCAUAUAUUCAUUAUAUAAUACAUCAUUUUCAUCAUUAUUAUACAAUAUUUUGUGUUUUCCUUCAUGUGACAAUGUGUUUUAAGGUAGUUCAUCACUAACUUCACAUGACACUAAAUCAUAGAUGUAGACUUGGAUUAGAAAAUUGAUGAACGCACUUAAAGAAAAGAAAUCAUCGCCAAAAGAUUUGCUUUGUAAUUAAAGUAUAUAAUAUAUGAAGUUAGUGAAGAAAGUACAUUGAAAUGUAGUGUCACAUGAAGGAAAACACAAACUAUUGUAUAAUAAGGAUGAAAACAUAAUAUUAUAUAAUGAAUAUAUGGUGAAGUUAAAAUUAGGGUUUAAAGAAUAAUAAAGAUAAGAUAAAAAUAAGAUUUUAGAUAAAUUUAAAGAACAUUGAUGGUAUAAUGAAAAUAAGACUAACAAGUAUGAAUAUAAGAUAAGCAUUUAUUAUUUUUUUUAUUUCUCGUCAAUCAUCUUAUUUCUUAAGUUAUAUUUUAUUAAAAAUAUAUAUCUAUUUUGGAAGUAUAUAUCCAGACCUAUGAAUCAUUUCGAAAAUACAUUUUUGAAAUAGAUACAUGUAAUUCUUGAAAAAUAUUUCUAGAAAACAAAAGGCAUGCACUUCUUUAAGCAAAAGGGUAUAAUGGGUAAUUGAUUAGGAAAUUAAACUGGGGUUAUAAAUAGUAGGAGCCCUUUUAUUUUAUGUCUUGAUAAUUUAUCUUAUUUAAUAUCCAAAAUCAAUUUUUAUAUUCAAUUAAAGUAUUUGUUUUGUACUCUUGUGAGGUUAGGGUUCCACAAGCCCAAAAGACCAUGUUUUGUUUAAUUGCUGAAAUAAAAUUAUAAAAAUAAAAGACUUUGUAAUAUAUUUUUAGUACUGUAAUGUACUGUUUUUUAUUUUUAUUUUAAUCCUUAUUUUUUUUUCUCAAAAUAGUCUUGUAAAAUUUCUCUUUAGUUUUAUUCCUUACUAUUUUGUUUUGUCUUUUUAAUAAAUCCCAUUUGUAGGUACUUAAUAACUGAGUAUAACCAUUAUAAACAACAAGAAGACCAAAAAAGUAAUUAGGAAUUUUCAUUUUCAGUGAACAAGAACUGCAAGACCAUCGAGUUGGUAUCUAUUAAAUUUUUUUAUCUCCAACAUACGAUUCAUAAUAAAAAUGGGAAAUAUGUGGCUGGGAUUAAGAUUGAUUUUAUACUUGAGAGAGGUGCGUGGUGGUGACCAUAUUAGAGAAGCUAACACCUACCUAUGAUUGUAAGAAUGCCAAUUGUUUGGGUUUAAAUUAACUUUUUUUUUUCCUAACAAGACCAUUGCUGAGUAAGUGAUACAGGAGGAAAUAUAACAGAGGCAAGCAAUGACACAGGAAGGCACACAGCAGAGGCAAGCAACCAACAUGAUGAGGUGCAACAAGCAAAUCAGGUCAACAAAGAGCAAAGGGAGCAAAAGCCCAAGAGGAGGGUAGCAAAGCCAGCAUACCUUAGAGAUUAUGUCUGAGAUAGUGGGAUGGGCACUAUAGGAAUUCUGUUAGAGUAAUUACAACAAGUGGGAGACAAUAUUAACAACUUUGAUUCUGUAAUAUUCCAAGGGUGCACAAGGGGUAGCAAUUCUAUUAUUUGGAUUAGUAUAAAUAAGUUUGUAAUGCAAUAUACAGAAUCAUGAAUGAAAUGAGUAUUUUCUUAUCUUAGCUUAAUUCCCUUCUCUUCCCCGGAGGCCCUGCUCCUCGAAACCAGAAUUCCCUUACCCAACUUGUAUCAGUAAGUGACCAUAUUUCUUUUUAAACAUUAUUUAAUAUUGCUAAGUAGUCAUAUUAUACAAGGAAUAUUUUUUUUAACUAAAUGGUUAACACAAGUGGUUAAUAUACUAAAAUUAAGGUUGAAUCAUUCAAGUAAUACGUAAGUUCGAUUCUUAGUAAAAAUAAUUUUUAAUCAAACUUUAUUUAUCUUUCGAUCAAGCUUCAAAUUAAUCAAAAUCUCUUUUUUCUGAUAAACUUGUGGAGUAUGAAGAAAUAAAAAGUAAUAAAUAUUCAGAAACAUAUAACAACUAUAUAAAUUGUGCAUUAAAUGUAGGUGGAAAGUUGUCCCACUUCCAAUAGUGAAUAUGCCCCACUUGGGCAAAAAGCUGGGUGCCUUAAGGUGUGUUUGAUUUGUAUUUUUAUUUUCUGUUUUCAUUUUCAAAAGAUUAAAAUUCUAAAAAUAUGUUUAGUUUGACUUCUUGUUUUUUGCUUUCAAGAAAUAAAAACACUGAAAAUGCAUUUUCAAAAGGAAAUAUAUUUUUAGAUUUGCUUAAAAUUACAUUUCUUGUCACCGCUUUUUUAUUUUAUCCAAAAUGAGGUUCUUGGUUUCAACUGAAAACACUGAAAACGAGAUUUAAUUAUUUUCAAAUUUUGAUUCGUUUGGAAAAAUAUUUUCACUGAAAAUGAAAAACAGAAAUCCAACUAAACACAUUUCCAUUACCAAUUUUUAUUUCCAGUAAAAAUGAAAACAGAAAAUAACCAAUGCAAACAUCCCUUAUUUUGCCUUUAGUUACCUUCUACGGGAUCCUUCUGCCUAUUUCCACCAGCUAGCAUAGGAGGAUGACAAUUAAUGAGACUCCCAUGCAAACGUUAAUGCUAAGAAAGUAGUUAGUCUUAUACCCUAAUUUAGAGUGUAUGGAAAUGGAAAACAGAGAAAAAGAAAAGAAACAAAGUCCUAAAUAUAGAUGAAUUGAUGUAAUAAGAAAAGAGAGAUAAGAAGAAAAAAAUCCAAGAGAAAAUAAGUGUAUGUGAUCUAUUUUAUUUUUCUAUCUCUUUUUCAUUUUUUUACUUAUCUCUCUCUUCCAUUGAUAUUAUAUUGCUUGAAUUUCAAAAUUUGAAAGUUAAAGGAACCUUCAUCUUUACGCACUCUCUUUCCUAAUUCUUUCAGUGAAGAACUGUAAAAUUCACAGGAAAGUUUCCAUUCCACCAGUCAUAACCAGUACUGAUCUUCUCAGAUUCAACCACACUGCAAAAGUAUGCUGGUAUCGGAUCAAAUGAGAGCUCUGAUUAUCGAUUUGUUGUGAAAAACUCUCAAAAACACAUUGUAAUAAUAAGAAAAAGAAUAAAUUAUAAUAAGACCUAACUAUGGCAACGUUGAUACAAUGUUUAUUUAUAUUGAACUCUCACAACUAAACUGAAUUACUGCUUUAACAACCACCUCUUGAAUUAUAUCACAACAUGAUCAUCACUCAGAAUGUCUCUCUAGUGACUACCAAAGGAGCACUGUAAUUGGCUGAUGAACCAUCUAAUCAUUUUUAGUAUAUUGUAUUUACUAAGGACUUUUUUUUAUAAAAAAAUUCUGAUCGAGAAAGGAAAAGUGCAUUUCUGUUUGUACUUCAACGUUGUUUUAGUUUUUCCACGUGCUUACUCUUAAAACUAAAGCAGGAUCUUACAAAAAUAAUAUAUUGUGACAUUUUUAUGUCCCCAUUAUUGUUCAUCCUAUAUUCCAAACCAUUAAUUUGUAUAUUUCAAACAAUAGAAUGGUUCUACAAUUUUUAUUUUUAUUUAUUUGCAUUUCAAAUUUUCAAAACAAACCUUUUGCAAAAACUACAAGCCAGCCUUCCCCUUGAUUUCAAUUAAGCAAGGAUGCAUUCAAUUCCUUUUGACCUCAACCAUUAGGAACUCGAUAUUCUCAAUUUACAUAAAGCAAUAUGUAAACUUCUAAGGUGAAUUAUCCACCCUGCAUGUUUGUUUAGAGAAUUCAUGCACUAACUGGUCUUAUUAUAACUACAGUAGAAUCUGGAGAAAGGAGACACAUUGGAAGAGACUAGACUAAGAAAAUGGAUUAGUCUUAGUAGACUUUAUUUUACAUUAAUAUUGGAAGAGAAUAGACCAAGAAAAUGAGCACUGACCAAACUAGUCACACACAUUCACACACAAAACAACUAAUACACGAUCGAACAGUUCAAAUUUUAAAUGAUAGCUUAUAGUCCAAGAAAUCCGAAUCCUGAACACUAAGCCAUAGACUUCAACUGGGCAACCAGAUCAGUGAUGAAUUUGUUCUGAAUUCCUUUAUUCAAUAAAAACUCCUUCCAUUUCAUGUGGUUUUCUUUUAUUUGCUUCCCUGGCUCUUUAUCAUCCUCCACCAUGAUAGUUUUUACUGCCUUCAGUAUAUCCUCUUUCUUAAAGUCCCCAUCUUCACUCCUAUUCACCUCUAUCCCUGCCUCCAAAGCCUUGGCUAUGAGCUUAGCAUUGAAAAACUGGUCAGCCUUGAAAGGCAACAGCACCAGUUCACAAUCACUGGCCAGAGCUUCAAUCACAGAAUUGAAGCCACCAUGGCCUAAAUGGCAUCCCACGCUAGAGUGUUUCAGUACAAGCUGCUGCUGAAACCAACCAGUGUGCACCACUCCCCUAUUCUUCACUCUUUCCAAAAACCCUUUUGGUAAUGCUCUCUCUAACUCAGCUUUGGCAGAGAGAUUGGAUGGGAAAUUCAGAACCAAAAUGAAAGGUAAGCCACUGAGUUCUAAGCCACUGGCCACUUCUUUGAUUUGAUCAUCAUUCAGAAAUUGCUCACUGCCAAAGGAGCAUAGUAUGACAGAUUUGGCAGGGAAACUGUCUAACCAUUUGGACCACUUUUCCUCUAGCACAUCCAUUGAUGGCUCUGGGACAAGGAAACCAGUUAACAAAACCAGUUUCCCAAAUUGCUUUUCAAUGUAGUCUAAGUAGGAUUCUUCUAUUUCCUUGCACGAUCUAAACACUAUUAAUGAGCAGUCACUAAAGCCUUGCAAAACUCGCUCAUAACCAGUAAAGUUUUUUUCACCAAAUCUUUUGAAGAGGAACAUCAAGUCCAUGGCCUCAAAGGCCUUGAGGGAAAUGUUGGAGUUUUGAGGAUACCCUGGUGGAGGCUUUUUAAGAUCCUCAAAAGUGAUGUUUCUUCCUUCAAUAUCAGCAAGCCUUGAAGGCACAGUAAUGUAAGAAUCAGAUAUGGCAGAGAAGGACGCAAAGCGAACAGAUUUGAUGCCAAGUUCAGAAGCUAGUUUUGGGAGCCAGUUUUGUGCAAAGUCAAAGAAAACAUAAUGGGGUUUGAGUUCCAACAAAAGGGACUUUACAUGAGGUUGAGUAAGGUCAAGUGCAUGUAUGAGAUUUGCAGCCAAGUUUGGUGGCAAUUCAGCAGUGCUGGUUAUGCCAUUUGGGAAGUAUAGUGGGAUAACAUUGAUGGCUGGAUUGAGAUUAAGAGUUGAUUUGAUUCUGGGAAUGUUGGAUGCAGCUGACAAGAAAGUGAUACGAACUCCAUGAGAGAACAACUUGUUGGAGAGUUGAACAAAUGCGUUAAUGUGACCAAAUGCAAGGAAUGGGAACAUAACCACAUGAAGCUCAUCAUUGUUCACAACUUCACAAGACAUCUUUUUUGUUUAUGUUUCUGCAAGUUCCUUAUGGAUGUUGGCUUGCUCAAACGGUGCAUGAUCAAUGGUGGUUAUAGAGUGGACUAUUACCAGUUUUGGUAUAUUAGAUAAUGCUUCGUGUCUGGAUUGAUUACCAGAUUUGGUGCAUUGAUUAAUGCCUCCACCUUGAUGGGGAUCCAGUUAUCAACCUCCGGGUAGUUGAAACGUGUGGUUCAUAAUAUUGCCAAAGUUAAUUUUAAUAUUCUUGGCAAAAAAUUAUGAAUGUUGUCAUGACGCACUCUUGGUCAUGACCAGUGCACAGACUAUGUCUUCUUUAGUCUGGCCAGCCUAUCCUAUACAACUUAACCUGUAAAGAACACAAUAUAUAUAUAUAUAUAUAUAUAUAUAUAUAUAUAUAUACAAUUUCAUGUACUUGUAUCUCAUCUCAUCCAUUUAAUAACAAAGUGAAUUAUAACCACUAAUCAUCAAGUGUCUCAAAACAUCACAAGUGCAUCAUCAUCAUAUCUAUAAAGGAGAGUCAUUUACAUUCCCAAAAUAAAGGAGUCCCCUCUAAAUCUAGUACUACCCUGGUCCCUAUAGCUACAUUAUACUAGAGUUACAACCAAAAUAUCCAUCAGACACAAUGGGGACCUACCAAAAAGAUAAUCAAGUUCCUGGGUGUGUCAGCGAAUCCCAGGAAAUCGGUUACUCCACUACUGGGUAUCUGAGAAAAGAAGUAAAAUAAGGGGUAAGUCACAAGGACUUAGUGAGAGCAUAAUAUACUAAGCAGACAUGAAAGAGAGCACCAUUUAACAUGAAUCUUUCCAUUUCCCAAAAGAUAUUAAAAUAACAUUCUUGAAAGCAAUGAACGAAAAUAGACUUGCUUUUAGAAAUCACUGUAUGCAAAGUAUAUACAUUUCAGAACUUCUCAUAAUCUGGUAUUCAACACAAUUACUUUAAAUAAUUAAGCAUUUAUUCUACUAUGUGCACAUAGACCACAUUAUCUCUUCAUUGUGGUGAACGGUAAUUAUAUAACUACGACAUUUAGUUCGUAGGCUGCAUUAUCUCUUCGUUGCAGCAAACGGAACAUAUAUUUAUACUAUGAGAAUUCAACUCAUAGGCUACAUUAUCUCUUCAUUGUAACAAACGGCAUAUAUCAUUAUACUAUGAGAAAUUAUCCCAUAGGCUACAUUAUCUCUUCGUUGUAGCAAACGGCAUAUAUCAUUAUACUAUGAGAAAUUAUCUCAUAGGCUACAUUAUCUCUUCAUUGUAGCAAACGGCUCAUAUCAUUUUACUAUGAGAAAUCAUCCCAUAGGCUACAUUAUCUCUUCGUUGUAGCAAACGACACAUAUCAUUUUACUAUGAGAAAUCAUUCCAUAGGCUACAUUAUCUCUUCGUUGUAGCAAAUGGCACAUAUCAUUUUACUAUGAGAAAUCAUCCCAUAGGCUAUAUUAUCUCUUCGUUGUAGCAAACGACUCAUAUCCUUCAUGAACUCAGCAUAAAUAAAAUUAAACAAACAGUUCAACAUUUAUCCUUAUAUAUUAUCAAGAUCUCAAAAUGUAUAUCAAAUCUCACCAAAAAUAUAUAUAUUCGAAAGUAUACUUGCUUCUUUAUAAUUGAUCUUUAAUAAAAUCGCUAAGUAUAUUAGCUACUCACCUAAAUAACACAAUCACUGACUUCUAUCGCUGUUAGGAAGGUCAACCACAGUAUUUUCUACAGAACCUAAGCAUUUAAAUAAUAGAACAAGGGAUUAGACAAAAUCCCCAAUUUUAGCAAACCUAUGAUUUUGAGAAAAUCACAAUAAUCUCUAAUACUUAGUUUUUUUUAACUCUUUUUCUCACAGCCCAUGACUAACCAGUGCUAUAACAUACUCAUCUAGCAUAACGGGUCAUAAACAUUUACCUUAAAGAGAUCAAAUAGAAAGACCAAAGAAACGCGUAGUGUUGUCCCUUUUUUUCCGUCACCUUCUCGUGCUUGGAAGAACCCAAAGAUGUAAUAAGCUUGCAAAUUUCGGAACUAUGUAAGGAGAUGAGUGAAGGAUCAAAAGAUUAAAUUUUUGGGAAAAAAGGGUUAGGGUUGAGAGGUGUGGCUGCUGCAAGAAGAAAAAGAAAGGAAGUUUACGAAAAUGGGGAAGCUCUCGGGAGUUAAAAAAAAACUACAGGGGAGUGGCUUUCUUAUAUUAAUAUUAUAUUAUUAUUUUCUUUUCUCUUUCCUUUUUAUUUAAACGGUGCAUUUCAAAUGUAGGCCAACUACAACAACCAACAAGUUGUUAAGCAAGAUCUCGGAUUCAAAUCUUAUGGAUGGAAAAAAAGUUAUUGGAAGAGAUUUCCCACUAAAGGUGACCAAUUAGGUUUUUUGAUAGAUAUUAGUUAUCAAUAAAAGUGGUGGAUACUCUUCAUCAAUGUGAUAGUGAUCCAAAAAAUCUUAGUACGACAGAAGAUGCCUUUGUGGCAGUUAUUUUACCCUUUAGUGACAAUAAAGAUAGCCACUGAAACGUUUACUGCAAUUAAAUUAUGACCGGUAUAUCUAAAGUCAGUAAAAAUAGUACCAACAACUAUGAAGAGUGCUGGUUAAAACCCUUUUUGUGAAGCAUAGUUAACAACUAAAAACACUGUCAAAUUUUCAAAAAAAUACUUUUUUCUUAUUAUAUAAACUACACUCUGAAUUAUUUUUUUUUUAAAGUCACUACACUCUGAAUUAAGGAGGGGAAAAACUAAGCUCCUGAUCUAUAAAAUCUGAUCAUAUCCACAUCUGCAAAAAGAAAUAAAAAAAAGUACAUAAGGUAAACUAAAGAAUUUUUACUUCUCAACAAAAUAUGUGUGGUACAAUCUUCAUGAGUAUGCAGGUUUGUCAUGACCAAAUUACAUUUUGAAGUCUGAAAUACUCUAAAUAGUGGAUUGUACAACACUGGUGUUUUUCUGAAACACUGGUGUCUGAGACACCAACUAAAGUGCUGGGUAUACAGGCAUUGGAGGGGAUAUAAUUAAGCAAUUUUUCAUAAUAACAAGGAGUGAAACUUGACCAUAGACAUAGGAUGCUAGGUAUAUAAAUUUUAUUUUGAGAAGUUAUAAUUAGCAUAACUUGGCCACCCUGAUCUGACAUUCUCUUUUAUUCUCAUAGUUUGGAUCCAUGAAGAUUUGGGGUGCUCUCUCAUUUUUUCAAGUUCCGUAACUCUGCUUCUAGAGAAUGAAAUGCAAAUGUUGUUGCUGCAAUUGAAGUUACAUACUCUUCAUCUCUUAUAUACUCAUCAUGAAAAGUUGUCCUUGGCAGCCAGUUCCAAGCCUUGUCAUUUCUACUACCACUGGAUCCAUGAUGUUUUGGUGAAUGUCAAUCAGAAAAUAACACUCUACAAUCGAGACAAAGCAAUUUUGGAUCUUAAUUGUCGGAAAAACAGAACAGAACAUAAAAAGAGGUAUUGGACUCAAUCAGAAAAUGCUGUAAAAUAGAACGAGCAAAGUAUAAACGUAUAAAGAAGAGAGGAGUAAAAUCAGUAUGAUGUAUUUCAAAUUUUCAUAUUUAGAUUUUGCAAACUUCUAAACUGUUACAACAAGUGUUUAAAUAUAAAACUAACAAGUAGGCAUCAUUAGCCCACACCUCCGACUAGCUUUUUCUGAACACAAGCAACUUUUAACCAAGCUUACAAGCAAAAUAGAAAAUUGCAGAGGCAUUAAAUAUUUUAAUAUGACAGCUGAAAAAUCUCAACUUCCAACAUUAAUUAGAAAUAUAAUUGGCAAGAAACAAAAAUGAUGCUCUGUAAGUGAAAAAGUUCACAACCAAGUUGCUGUAAGAAACAGUUCUGAAUGAAACUAGAACAUACAGAAAUCUAAAGUAAGAUGAAUAACAAAUGGCAUGACAACUUCAGUUAGGAAACCUAGUACCUUCUUUGAUGGAGUCUAUUUUCCAUUCCUUGAAAUUGCGAUCUAUGUAGACAUUUUUGUCUGAAUUUCUAAUUUCAAACCGUUUGAUUGUGUAAGGAUGAACUGAGAGCAGGUCUUAUAAGCGACUUCCAGAGUCUGGAUCAAAUAUGAUCUACCUCUUCUCACUUUUGACAAAGAAUUUUAUAUAGCCUAUUUUUUUUUUUAAAAAAGUUACUUGUAUGAUAAAAUUUUACAGUAAAAAUUAACUUUUAUAUAUAACCUAAAUAAAACAAAUUGUUUUAAAAUUACUUUUCAUCUUACAUCUUAAAAUAUAUGAAAAAAUUGCAUAAUCAAUUUUAUCUAUAAUUAAUUAUUAAAAUAAUUUUUAAAAAUAAUAGAAUUCCAACAGGUGCGUUAAUUGUUGCUCCAUCAAUGGUGCAAGUAAACCUUUAUCAGCAUCGGGGAAUCAGGAUAGCACCACAUUUGGUCCAUAAAAUUUUUGCUAAAUUUGAUAAGAAUUAUUAGGUACAUAUCGUUGACAUGUAAGCAAGAAAAUUUUACAAUUUCAUAUUAUCAUUAUUGAAAUCCAAUGGAGUGCUGCCCUCUUUUGCACUCCAAAACUUAAAUGAAAAAAAAAAUUCCAAUGGAAAUGCAGUACAUGACAACCUAUCAUGUAAAUUCAAGUGUCUACCCUGAAUUCACCCUAUUUACAUGCUUUAGUGGUGACUACUAUAGAUAAACUUCUAUUUCAUAUUUAGUUAUUUAAAGACAUGGUCCACCCGGACCACCCCUUAAAAGACUGUCUUACAUUCCAAGUUAUGCAGAAAACUAAACAGUACGGUAGAAACAGAAUUAUAUGCUUCAUGUUUUACUAUUUUGUAACAUAUUACACCCGAGUUGCACCACACCAGAGUCUGCAAUUUGUGAAUCAUAAAAAAAUUAUAUCUUGUUACAAUUAUUUUAAUUGUGCACGUUGUUUUAAAAAAUAAAGUUUCCAUUGCUCUAUUCUCUUCGAUGACACCAGAGAAGCAUAUUGAUCUGCACCACUCCAUUGCAAGACCAAGACCAAGAAGUUGUCUUGCAACAACAAAACCAAUCGUUUAUCAAUGAAGUUUUCUGUUAUACCAUUAGUGAGUUGGCUAGCUUGUACACGUGUCGAGAGCAUAUUGGCUAGGACCAUAAUUUUUUUUUGAAUGGCCGGCUAGGACCAUAAUUGACUUGGUGGUGUUAGAGUAGGUAAUAACUUCUUGUAUUCAAAGCCAUAUUUAUUUGUAGUAUAGAAUGAUUCUACAUUUGUUCGUCACCUAUAUUACAAACCAUGUCUAUUUCAUGUUCUACUUCUUUUUCUUUUUCAUUUCAAUAUUUCAAAACAAACCUUGUGCGCAAAUUAUAAGACAACUUCUUGGUCUUGACUAAAAUCAGUAGGAACGCCAUAACUUCAAAUUACAAACAAGAAAUUUGUAGCUUUUUUAAGGUGAAUCUCCUACCUGCAUUAAUUGGUCUUGAGAAAGGAGACACAGAAUAAAACCUAGAACGGGAAAGCAAAAUCACAAGAACAACGAGGUACUGAUCAGACAUAUCAGAAUUUCACCAAAAAAAAAAAAAAGAUCACGCAUAUCAGAAUUGAUAUAUGAAAAUAUGACCAUUUUAAACUAUAGUUUAUAGUUUUGAUAGACUUUAUUCUCCAAUGGAAGAGACUAGACUAAGCCAUAGACUUCAACUGGGCAACCAUAUCUGUGAUGAAUUUGUUCUGAAUUUCCUGAUUUGAUAAAAACAUGCUCCAUUGCAUGUGGCUUUCUCUUGUUUGCUUCCCUUGCUCUUUGUUAUCCUCCAUCAUGAUAGUUUUUAUUGCAUCUAUUAUAUCCUCUUUGUGAAAGAACCCACCUUCAUCACCCCUAUUCACCUCUACGCCCGCCUUUAAAUCAUUGGCUAUGAGCUUAGAAUUGAAAAACUGGUCACCCUUGAAAGGCAACAGCACCAGUUGACACUCAUUAAUCAAAGCUUCUAUCACAGAACUAAAGCCACCAUGGCAUACAUAGCACCCCAAACUUGAGUGCUUCAGUGCAAGCUGCUGCUGAAACCAACCAGUGUGCACCACUCCCCUAUUCUUCACUCUUUCCAAAAACCCUUUUGUUAAUGCUCUUUCCAACUCAGCUUUGGCAGAGAGAUUGGAUGGGAAAUUCAAAACCAAAAUGAAAGGUAAGCCAAUGAGUUCUAACCCAGUGGCUAGUUCUUUGAUUUGAUCCUCAUUCAGAAAUGUCUCACUAUCACGUUUUGAACACUCACUAAGGCUUCGCAAAACUCGCUCAUAACGGGUAAGGGUUUUUUCACCAAAUCUUGUAAAGAGGAACAUGAGGCAAAUUUCCCCAGAUGGGGUGCUUUUACAAAAUAUUUUCCCAAAUGGGGUCCUUUUGAAAAAUAUUACAUGGGGGUUGUUUUCUACGUACUUUGCAUGGGUUCUAUAGCAAACCGUUAUUGUCAAUGGCGAGUUUGCUGUGCGAAGCCACGUGGCAUGAAAAACGCCACUCGUAGUGGCGAGUUGCCUGCAGGUGGAAGUUGCCACCAUGACUAGCGAGUUAGGGCAGGCUUUUGCAGGCUUUUGGAGGGGGUGCAGGCCUAAAGGGGAGUUGCAACUGUCACUGGCGAUUUGAGUGCAAGUUGCAACUCCCAUUGGCGAUUUAGGGCAGAGAAGGGCUAUAAAUACAUACUCAAAUAUCAGUUUUUCUCACGCUGUUGUUGGUUGUUUACUCAAACUUCAGUGUACUCAAAUUUCAGUUUCUCACGCUGUUGCCUCUUUGCUCAAACUUCAGUUUUUAAAAAUUGUGAGUGUCAAGGAAUUCCGCAAGGUUUUCUAUUUACUUCUUAAGUCUAUAUUUUAAUCAAGUUUGUAGUUUUGAAAUUAAUAAUUUAUGUUAUAAUUUGUUUUUAAGUAUGUUGUUGUUUGCUAAGAUUUGUCCGCAUAAAGUUAUGAAAUUUGCUAUAUUUUCUGUAGUAAUUUUUUUUUUUCAUAACUGUGAGUCUUUAGGGAUUUAUCUGCAUAAGGUUUGAUAUUUGAGAGUUAAAUAUUUGAAUCCAUGCCUCUUCAGAUGGCCUUAUUUGAUUUUGGGCUCAACUUCACACCGUCACUAUCCAUGUUUGCAUUAUUUUCAAAUUGUCAUAAUAAAUUUGUUUAUUGUGUUAUUGACAAGGAGGAAAGAAAAACAAUAGUACUUACCAUACAACAAAUUUUUUAGUAUCAUUAAUAUAGGUUAGGUCUAACUAGAAAAAAAAAAACGUGCAUUUUGAAGUUAUGUUAAAUUUAAACAUACUACUUUAUUUAUAGGUUAUUAAAGGUUUUUUAAUAAAUUAAAUAUCAAAACAUUAUUAGUGUAAAUUAUUUAUAUUAUUACUAAAAAAAUAAUACAUUUAUUUUUUGGAAGUAAAAAUAAUUUGUUCCUUUUUGGAAAUUAAUAAUUUGUGUUAUAAUUUUAUGUCAGUAAUUUUUUUAUAGCAGUUUGAAUGUAUAUUUUUUAUUAAUUUUAUAAUUAAAUUAGUUUUAUAUUUUAUUUUGUAGUUUCCAGUAAAAUAAUUUGUAUGAUAAUUUUUUUAAGUAAUUAUUAAUUAAAACUAAAUUUCAACUUUCAAGUAAUUUUUUUUAAGUAAUUUUUUUUUAUUUCUUAGUUUCCAGUAAAAUAAUUUGUAUUAUAAUUUUUUAAGUAAUUUUUUUAUUUCUUAGUUUCCAGUAAAAUAAUUUGUAUUAUAAUUUUUUAUGUCUUAGUUUCCAGUAAAAUAAUUUGUAUUAUAAUUUUUGUAAGUAAUUUUUAAUUAAAACUAGAUUUCAGCUUUUAAGUAAUUUUUUUUAAGUAAUUUAUUUUAUUUAGUAGUUUCUAGUAAAAUAAUUUUUAUUAUAAUUUUUUUAAGUAAUUUUUAAUUAAAACUAGUUUUCAGUAAAAUGAUUUGUGUCAUCAAAUUUUUAAUUGAAUUUCUUCAGUGUUUAUUCUUAUUCAUGUCUACUAUUUAUUAAAUUUAAUUAUUUUCCAGUAAAAAAAUAUUUUAAUUUCUGAUAUUGAUAAUUUUUUGUUAUAAAUUUAAAUAAAUUACCAAUUUAUUUUCUAAUAAAUAAAAUUUAAAUUAUAUUACAUAUAUUACACAAAUAAAUUUAAAAAAAUCCAAAAAAUACAAUGGAAAUAAAAAUUUAAACAAUAUACUAAAAAAAUUAAAAAAAAAUUAGAAAAUAAACUAAAUAAUAUCAACAUUCUAACUAAACCUAACAUAUUUUAUAUAUAUAACAUAAAUAAUAUCAUACAAAUCUAAAAAAUCUAAACCAAAUAAUAAUAACAUAUCAAUUAAAAAAACUUAAACAAAUUCAUAUUAACAAAUUAACUACAACUAAUGUAUAACACAAAUAAUUUUAUUAUUUUAGGAUACUACUUAAAAUUUAAAAUUAUCACCUAAACUAAACAAACGUAUUAUAUAUAUACUAACCAAAAUCUACACAUAUAUAAAAUAAAUAAUAUCUUACUAAUUUAUAAAAUCUAAACAAAAUAAUAUUAUCAAAAACUAACCUAAAGAAAAAUUAAUACUAACUUAAAGAUAUGUAUAUUAACCUAACUAAUAUUCUUAAAAUAAUAUUUAUAAAUUAACUAAAACUAACCUAACAUAUAUAUAACUUACAUCUUACAAAAAUCUAACCUAAAUAAUAUUAAUAUCUCAACUAAAAUUAAUUUAACAUAUAUGCAUAUGACAUAAAAGUAUAUACCAAACAACAUAAAAAUAAAUUAACUUACCUCAAAUAUGUACUAAGACAAGCAACCAAAAAGUGUAGGCCAAAGAAGAACAAAAACUUCACCUACAAUAUAUAAAAAAUUUAUCAAUUAAUAUUAAUAUAUCACACCAAAAAAAAAAAAAUUCAGUUAAUAGCAUACUUACCAAUAACCCAAACCCAUAGCAACAAAAUAAGGGAGCACUGGAAGCAAAUAGCAAUGGCAGAAGAAGCAAUGCAGUGAAGAGUGAAUGCAAAAACGAAGCAGACCAAAGGAGCACCUGCAUUGCUUUAUAGGCCAAAAACUUUUUUUGAAAAAGCCCAAAUCACCCGUCAUGGUGGCGAUUUCUCUGCACCUGCAAAACUGCUCCUGCACCACUGCACCAUAGCUGCACCACUAGCCUACGCCUGAAGCUCCCCCUGCAAAGCCAACCCACUAGUCAAACUAGCGAUUUCCGAGACAAAGCACAGACUCGCCAAAAGGACUGGCGACUUGCAGGUGCCACGAAUUCGCCAUCACCACUGGCGUUUUCCAUGCCACGUGGCUUUGUCCAGCAAACUCGCCAUUGACAAUGGCGGUUUGCUAUAGAACCCAUGCAAAGUACGUGGAAAACAGUCCCCCCAUGUAAUAUUUAUCAAAAGGACCCCAUUUGGGGAAAUAUUUUGUAAAAGCACCUCAUCUGGGGAAAUUUGCCGGAACAUGAAGUCCAUGGCCUCAAAGGCCUUGAGGGAAAUUAUAUUGAAGUUUUUUAGGAUAACCAGGUGGAGGCUUUUUAAGAUCCUCAAAGUUGAUGUUUCUUCCUUCAACAUCAUCAAAUCUUGAAGGCACAGUAAUGGAAGCAUCAGAAAUGGCAGAGUAGACUGAGAAGUGAACAGAUUUGAUGCCAACUUCAGAAGCUAAUUUUGGGAUCCAGUUUUGUGCAAAGUCAAAGAAAACAUAAUGGGGUUUGAGUUCCAAAAGAAGGGACUUCACCUGAUCUUGAGUGAGGUCAAGGGCAUGUAUGAGAUUUCCAGCCAAGUGAGGUGGCAAUUCAGCAGUGUUGGCUAUGCCAUUAGGGAACUGUAAUGGGAUAACAGUGAUGGCUGGAUUGAGAUUAAGAGUUGAUCUGAUUUUGGGAAUGUUGGAUGCAGCUGACAAGAAAGUGACACGAACUCCAUGAGAGAACAACUUAUUGGAGAGCUGAACAAAUGGGCUGAUGUGGCCAAAUGCAAGGAAUGGGAACAUGACCACAUGAAGCUCACAAUUGUUCACAACUUCACUAGGCAUCUUCUCUGUUUAUUUUCCACCAAGUUAUUUCUUGAUGCUGACUUGCUCAGACUUUGCUCAAUACUGGUUAUAAUAUAUAGUGGCCUAGUGGACCAUACACCAGAUUUGGUACACUAAAUAAUGCUCGGUCUCUCUCAGUUGGGCAACGUUACUACUUACUAAUUUCCGAGGUAGUUGGAACGUGUGGUUCAUAAUCUUGCAAAAGUUAUUUCAUAAUAAGUUAAUAACAGGUUGAACCAUGUUGUUCAAACGUGCAAUAUUUUAUUUUAUUUUAUAUUUUAAUUAUUGUUAAAUUAAAAUAUAUUAUUGUUUGACUUGAAACCAGGUUAAUCCAAACCAAGUUAUGAGCUUAACUAAUAUUUCAAUUUUAAACAAAUUGUAAAAAAGAGGAAUAAGAAAAAGAAUUUAAUGAUAAAGGGAGUACAAAGAUUGAAAAGUGGAUAUAUGUAGCUUCAGCGGAUCUUGGUAGCUUUUGUUGUAAAUUUUCAAGACCUCCAUGGAUGAGACCUUCGAGUGCAGCCAUGGGAGGAGAAGCCAUUGUUGGACUCACUUUUUUUUUUUAUAAAUAAAAAACUAUUAAUUGUCAGACUUCAUUGGAGUUGGGCAUGGAAGUUUUAGUUCUUUGGUUGCUAAUACAUAGGAUUCAUUGCGUUCGUUCUUUGAUUUCUUUGGUUACUAAUUGUUUCUAAUUUUUUGAGGUAAUUAGAGGGGAGAUGAGUAGAGGUGAGCGGGAGAUAGAGAGAAAGCAACGUUGAUGAGGCAGCCAGAACGUGCAGACAUCACAGUAGAGAGAAUAAAAGGUGAAUAAAAUUAAAUGAAGUAAUUAAAAUAAAAUAAGUUUACAUAAAUAUUCUUUAACUUACAUCCGUCUAAACACAAGAAGAAUGAUUAUUUUAUCUAAAUAAAAAAAGUGGAGGUUGCUAAUAUACAUCUUCUAUUUCUUUUUUUUUUUUUUUUUGGUGAGACCGUGUUAGCCGUCCUCUUUUAACAUUUGUUUUAUUUUAAUGUGAUUAAAAAUUUAAAUAUUUUUCUUUUUUGAUUUUAAUUUUUAUAAAUUAUAUUUGUUUUUAAGUUAAUAUUGUUGUAACAUGAUAAUAUCAUCAAGUGAUAAAUAACAUAAUGAUGUCAUAUGAUUUAUUUGUUAUGUCAUUAUUUUUUUAUAUGGAAACUAGUCAUAAAGUAAAAAAAAAAUCACUUUUUUUCAGGACAAAGAAAAAACAUUAAAUUAUAUACUACAAAUAUAUCUAAAUCUAAAAAUAUUUUAAAAUUAAGUUAAAAUUCAUUUGUAUUCUAUUUUUACCAAAACAUGCUUUUUUAAAAUUACGUUAAAAAAUUUACAAGUAAAAACUCAACUACCCAAAAUGGGUCCUAAGUAACUUAAUUAUGAUUUCCAAUUUAUCAAGUUACAUCUCUAUGUUCCAUAAUUUAUUCCUGAUUUUUCAAUAUUUUUCUCUUAAAAGAAAAUAUUAAUGUUGAGAUUUAUUGUGACAAUAAUUAUUAAAGUUAUAUAUAUCAUUAUAUUUUUCUUUUUAAUGCCAAUCAAUUAAAACAUACUUUAAAUAAAAUGUUUAAAGCAACUUUUAUUAAAAUUAUUAAUUUUAUUAUAUAAUAAUCUACAAUUAGAUCAUAGUGUAAUUUUUGUGUGUGAAUCAUAAUGUGUCAGUUAAUUCUAAUUAAAUUUUUAUGAAUGUUUAUAUGUAUGCGCUUUGCACGUUUGCAACUAAUAUAAAUUAUUUAUCUUCAAAAAACAAAUAUAAAUUAUUAAUUUUAAUUGGGUGUAAAAUCGACUGAGAUGCAGCACCGUAUUCAACUAUCAUGUCACAUAACUUUAUAGAUUUCACCCCAAACAAAAGAAAAAAAAAAGGUUUUUAUAAUUUAAGUUUAAAUAUAUUUUUAAUCUUUUAAAUUUAGGUCAUUUUUUUCUCUCAAAUAAAUUUAUUUUUUUCAAUCCCCCUAUCAUAAAAAGAAAAAUACUUUUCUAGUCUUAUACGGUAAAAAAUUAUAACAAACUAUACAUCGAAAUUGUUAAAAAAAUUGUCAUGAAAGAUUAAAAUGAGUAUUUUUCCAAACUGAGAAACUAAAAAUGAUAUUUAAAUUUUAAAGGUUAUAACCAAAAGUAACUCAAAUUUAAAAGGUAAAAAACGUAUUUAAGUUUAUAAUUUAUAUACUAAAUGAAAGCGUGGAACGGUGGGUAGAGAUGGUUGGUUGGUGCGGAGUCACUUCAACUACCCAUUUUGUGAAUUAAGGGUUCUAUUGUUUUUGAAAAAUGAUAUUUUCUUUCUGCACAUGCAUUAAAUGAAAAUGUACAUGAGGAAAAUUUUAAUUAUAUAAAAUAGAGAUAAAUUGUAAUAUAAAAUAUUUUACAUGUCCUUGUUGAAAAUGAUAUGCAAACAUAAGUUGUAUUUAUUUUGAUUUUUAUAAAUUACAGAUAAAAUUUUAGUGAAAAAUAUCUUAACAAAAUUAAUUAAAAGUAUUAAAUACAUUUAAUUAAAUAUUUUUAAUUAUCUAAAAAUAAGUAUUGCCAAAAGGGUUCUUGGAAAGAGUGAAGAGUAGGGUAGUGAUGCACACUGGUUGGUUUCAGCAGAAGCUUGUGCCGAAACACUCUAGGGUGGGGUGCUAUGUAUGCCAUAGUGGCUUUAGUUCAGUGAUAGAAGCAAUGUUCAAUGACUGCCAACUGGUGCUGUUGCCUUUCAAGGGUGACCAGUUUUUCAUGGCCAAGGAUUUGGAGGCAGGGGUAGAGGUGAAUAGGGGUGAUGAAGAUGGGUUCUUUCACAAAGAGGAUAUAUUGGAGGCAUUGAAAACUAUCAUUGUGAAGGAUAGCAAAGAACCAGGGAAGCACACAAGAGAAAACCACAUGAAAUGGUGCAAGUUUUUGUCAAAUAAGGAAAUUCAGAACAAAUUCAUCACAGGUCUUGCUGCCCAGUUGAAGUCCAUGGCUUAGCUAGGAUUCGGAUUUCUUGGACUAGAAGCUAUCAUUUAAAAUCUAAAUCUUCACAUUUCCUUAGUGUGACUCUUAAUUCCGAUGGAAAAUAAAGCCCAAGACUAAAAUCUCUCUAUUAAAAUCGUCAGAUUUUCAUGUAUCAAUUCUGUUUUGUGUGAUAUGUCUGUUAUUCUGGUGUUUUUGUUUUCCUUUGUAGAUUUUAAUUUCUGUUUCCUUUAAUGUAAUAAGAACAAUUAAUGCAAAUUUUUUUCUCAAGAUGCACCUCAAAAAAGUUUUAAGAUAAUGAUUAAUGCUAUGCAGUGGUAAAAUUUUUAAUAAACCUUAUAAAAUAUCAAAUGACCUCCAAAACAAAUUAGUCAAAUUAUCAAGAUGUUUUAAGGAAUACCUGAAUCUAUAGAGCUUGAUUAACACACAGCAGAAUCUUGUAACGGUCAUGAACAAUUGGUUUAAUGAUCUUCCUCAAUCAAAUCACUUUCUUCCUUUGUGGGACCUUCAUUUUCUCUUGAGAUGGAGAGAGAAGAAAUUGUUUCUUGAUUUAACAGUCUAAUAGACUCAUUAAAUUAUAUCACUUUAUAUUUAACUUAUCUAAAUAUAAAUAACUAACAUAAAUAUUAUAAUAUAAUAUGUAGGCCAUAUUAAUUAAUUAAGAGUUAUAAAAUUUCUAACAUGCAGUUCUAUUCUCUUGAGGAUCCUAUGGUUAUUUCUAUGAUCUUUGGAUUGUUGCAUCAAGAGAAUUUUGUUGCAUGCAUGACUUGCUACUUCAUGUAAGACCUCAUAGACUUUGAGUGCAUUUGUUGUGCAAAUUAUACUACGUCAUUGUUCUAGCUAAAGAUACAAAUAACUGGACAAGGAAACAGUUGAAAGAAACGAUUAAAAGAAUUGAAUGACCAAGAAUGACUCUGGGAAGUAAUGAUGAAAACAAAUAUGGACGUUAAAAGUGCAUGAAAUGUUUGUACGAUUAGAUACAUAUGGAAAAUUACGGUAAUGAAUUACACAGAUUAAGGCUUUUACAGGGGAAUUAGAAUACUAUUUGUUCUCUUGAAAUACCUACAAGCAAAUAUUCCUUGGGAAAUCCAUAAUAACUUUAAUCCCUGUUGAUCCAUAAAUUAAAUCAGCACAGGAAAUCGCACACGCUUCCUUAUGUUACUCUGUUUUUCUUCUUAAAAAACAAGAGAUUGAAGUCAGCACAUGCUAAAUUCAUAUAUUAGACGAUAAAAGAAUUAUUAUCAAAUAAUUUCAAAUCAUGAUGCAUAUGCAUGCAAAUGCAUGCAAAUUAGAACAUUCAUUUCAUAUAUAAACUUAAUUUUAGAUAUUUAAUAUCUUUCUCUUCAAAUGAAAUCUAUUUGUAAUUAUAUUUUAAUGAUGAGAUUUAGAAUGUGAGUUUAGAUAACUCAAUCUCAAAAACUAAUUUGUUAAGUAAAAAUUACUUAUAUAUUUUAAUUUGAUUUCUUUACGGGGAUGUGUAACAUAUAUAACACAUGAUGUUUUUCUUUAUAUUUGUUGAAUAAUAAUGUUAAGUGCAUUCCAAAUAAAUAACAUUGAUAUAGUGCCUUGGAGUCUUAAGACUAGAUGGAAAAGCUGUUUGAGACUUACCAUCUUUAUAGAUUUUUUUAUUGGUCAUAUUUUUCGUGAGGGAACAAUUUUGCAUAUUCCUUAGCCUCUCAUGCUUCUCUCAUGUGAUUUUGUUUUUUGUGGGAUAGUUGUCCUGUUUUAGUUCAAAACUUUGUUUUUAAAUAAUAGGAAUGCUCGUCCUAACUUUAGAUUCAGAUAGAUCUUCUAUUGCUUGUUUCAUGGGUUUAGUUUGGUCCCCCAUAUAUUUUUUUCUCUGAUUUUUUUUCAUUAAUAUUUUUCUUGUUCCAUGGGUUUGGUGAAGUUAGUCUGAAUUCUUGAGUUUAAGUAAAUUUUGUUUCGUAUUCUCCUAAAAAAAUCAUCAUACAAUUUCAAAUAAUGGUAAAUAUGUGUAAAUUAGAACAGUCAUAUAACAUAUAAAAGCAAUUCUAGAUAUUUAAUACCUUUCUCUUAUUCAAUUAUUCCAAUCAUUUAUUUAAUUUUUAUAUUACUUAGUAAAAGCCAUCAAUUUAGACAUAAUUAAUGGAAACUACGAAUAGUAUGUUGAUGCAAUAAUGGCGUAAACCACACACCCAUGACACAACUUUUCAGUUUUCACACAUCAUGCUGUCUUGGCCCAUUUUCCUUCUUUAAAAUCCCAAAUAACGUAAUUAACAAAAUGUCUUUAAUUACUUAAGAAUACAUAUGUAUAAUGAAAGAAAAUAUAAAAAAUUAAGUUAUGAGUUUAACUUAUGGUUAAUUAAUGGUGAGACGUCAAUUAUUUUUCUUUUACUUAUGGUUAACUACUAUAUAUGGAACGUUCAAUACAAACCUCUCUAGCAAGGUAACCAGGUGGUUUUUCCGCAUAAGUUACGUCAUCUGUAAAUAAUAUUCAAAACGACUAUUUUUUUUCUAAUACAGUGCACCUCAAUAUGUGACCUAAGUUUACUGCUUCUCCACACUAUAAAACCCUCUCAAUCGGCCUUUAUUUUUUCUCAAACUAAAAAGCAAAAUGAACGGUGUCGGUGUAGCUGAGCAAUGGAGCGACGUGCCGUUUAGGAUGGACGACGCGGACGACAUGAUCAUCUUCAACUCCCUCUGCGACGCCGUUUCACACGGUUGGUCUUUGUCCGAUUCCACCACACCAAAACCAGAAAACGACGCCGCGGAUCAGAGACCAGCUCACGAAAUAAGUUACUCCGAUUGCCAGAACGACGAUUCCAAGCUGCCGUUUUGGCGCAGAAGAAGAACAUGGGAACGUGCUACAGAGGAGUGAGGCAAAGACCAUGGGGAAAGUUCACGGCCGAGAUUCGCGACCCGGCUCGGAACGGCGCGAGGGCGUGGCUUGGCACUUAUCAAACGGCUGAGGAUGCGGCUUUGGCUUAUGAUCGAGCCGCGUUCAAGCUACGCGGCUCGAAGGCUUUGCUGAACUUUCCGCACCGAAUAAACUUCAACGAGCCGCCGCCGGUGAGAGUCACGGCCAAGAAACGGAAAGUUCCGGCUUCGGUGAAGCUGAGUCGAAGUUGAGGAUGUGUAAGACUGUACGUACGUGUUUCGGUGUUUGAAUGUUUGAUGCAUUGCAUACUGGUAUUUGCUAGAUGGAGACUUGGAGAGUAACUGUUGGUUGGUUAGGAUUAAUGGUGUUUAGGUUUAUUAAAAUGAGAAAGAUGAAGAAAAGAUAAAAAAAAAAUAAUGUAAGUUGCAAUGAAUAAUGCAAAGAUAUGGAAGAGUUAUAUUGGUAAUAUAGCUUUGUUUAUUGAGUGUUUAUCAUGUAAAUAUUUAUUUUGAGUUAUUUUUAUAAUUGAAAAAUAAUUAAAUUAUUUUUAUAUAAGUUAUAGAUUAUGUUUGACAAAAUUAACUUAAAGUUGUUGAAAAUUGAAAGUUGAAAAGAUAAAUUAUUAAAUUAUAAGUGUAUAAUAAAAUUAAUUGUUAAAAUAACUGAAAAAUAUAAAAUAAUAAAAAAAUAAUAAAUAUAUAGAGAAUAAAAUGAAAAAAAUAUAAAAGUUAAAAAUUAUAUGCUAAUAUUUUAAAAAAUAUUCCUUCAAGUAGUGUUUUAAUAAAGUUAGAAGUUAUUAAAAAAAAUUAUUUACCAACAAACAAACAGUUAAUAAAAAAAUUAAAUUGUCUUGUCAAAAAUAACGAUUAACUUUUUUUUCAUAAAUUAUCUUCUUGAACAUUAGCAUUAUUGAGUUUGAAACAUUUAAGUCUCAAUUUUUUUGAAUUAUAUAUAUAUAUAUAUAUAUAUAUAUAUAUAUAUAUAUAUAUAUAAUUCAACACAUAAUAUAAGUAUUCAAGAUAAUAUCAUUUAUCAUAUAUCUAUUAUUCAAAUAAUUAUCUUAUAUUGUAAGUGCAUAGAUAUUAAUUUUUUUAACUGAUUUGUCAUGAUAAAUAAUUAACACAGAAUAUAGAAAAUCAACAAAUGAAUCGGUUAAAAAGAUAGAGUCAGUUAGAAAUUUAACUAGGAUAAUUAGCUCUCUAUAUAAGAGGUUUCAUUGUGUAAUUCUCAUCUUUUUCAAUCAAUUCAAUAUGUUAUGACAUUAGUAUUAAUAUGUUCUUUAUCUAUCAUGCAUUUUAUCUUCAUCCCUUUGAUCAUGAAUUCGUAACAAUAAUAUCUAUUAAUUGUAUAAUGCAUGAUUAAUUGAUUGAUAAUCUAAAAGUAAUUAUUAAAUCACAUUGGUGGAUUAAAAAUAAAUCGAUAUUAAAAGGUUUUUUACCUUUAAAAAAUGUUUUUAAAGAAAAUUCCUUAUUAAAAGUUGUUCAUUAUAAGAGUGAACAAAAAGAAAAUCAUGACGCCAUCUUAAUUUUAUUGGCACCAAUAAAGGAUGACAAAAUGGACAUUUUAUUCCACUUCUCAUUUCCUCGAAAUUUUAAACAAUUAAGCUUGACCCGUAAGUAAUGUUAGUGAAAUUCAUGAAAUGUUAAUGUGAAGAAUAAUAUAAAACUGAGCCAAUUAUGGAAGAAUGGUAGCUGUGAUAUUCCAUAAUUCUUCGAAAACCAUUCUAUCUGAAGCCAAAAAUGAAAUCAAGCUUGACUUGGACUUGGACUGAUAGCCCGAAAUAACAUUUCAUUUUACAGAGUCAAUGGAAUAUGGAAUAAAUGGACGACUUUAUAUUUCCAUCCAUAGGAAAGAUUUUCCAGCCCACCGCAGCUGUCCUUUUAUUCAUUUUUUUUCCUCUCCUGCGUCAAAACAAGUAUCACAACAUAAAAAAAAAAAUAUUUCAAAAUAAUUAUUACAUCUUAUUUUUUAAUGUAAUAUUAAUUAUUUUUAAUACUAAUAUUUUUAAUAAGUAUCAUUUUAAUUUUUAAAUGAAAUAUUAAUAUUAAAGUUAAUUUUAUAAAAUUAUUACUUUUUUUAUUUUUGUAAAAUAAUCUAGAAUGAGACAUAUUUUAGAAACAGAAGAAAUAUACGAAUAAUAUUGACACAGUAGUUAUAUCUUGUUUCUCUUAAUCAAGUGGUCUAAUUUUAAUUAUGAUUAAUUCUUAAAAAUGAAAUAUGUUAAAAAAAAAUAUUCACCACCUUAUGUCUAUUCAUUCUAAAAUAAAAAGAUUGUCUACAAUUUGACAUCAUACAAGUCAGUCUAUUCAUAUAUCUCUGAAUGUGAAUACGUAGCCGUUUUACCUGGCAUACGAUGUUGGGCGGGGAAAAAUAGACCGGUUGACAGAUUUUUUUCCUCAAUUUGAAAAAAAAAAAAUACUAGUAACAAACAAAUUUGUUUAAGUAAAAAUAAAUACUGAAUCAAAAUGUAACACAAAUAUUAUUUUUUAGUAUUACUAUUAUAAUAAUUUUUAUAAUGUAUUGAAAUAAUAUAUUUAUUUACCUUUUAAAUAUUAAGUAGGUGUUUUAGAAUUCUUAACAAAAUUUUUAAAUAACUCAUCAUUAAUGUUACAUUAUACUUUAAAAAUAUAUUUAUAUUAUAUAAAUAAGUUAGAUUUAACUCUUAUAAAUCUUAUUUUUUAUAUAUUCAGGUCUGAUGUCAAUAGCAUCAGUUUUAAUUUUUUGUAGUUUACAAUUUAUUUUAUGUACAAUAUUUUUUUUCCUAUUGAUCUAUCAGCUAAUUAGCAUAUUUCGGGAUAAUUUAUAAGAAAAUUCAAUAUGAAUUAAGCUAUAGACCAGGUCAAACUUUUUUAAAAGGUUAGAUUAGGUAAAAAAAAAAAAAAAAAACUGUAACAAAUAACAAUCUAAACAUGAACCUUAAUUUUUUUGUUUUUUUAAUGGAAUUUAUUUUUGUUAAGAAUAUAACUAUGUUUAAUAUAAUCUAUUUCUACUCCCUAUAUGCUAUUUGAUUAAAAUUAAAUAUUACAAUUCUUUUGGAUAUUAAAAUUUUAACUUGAUAAAUUAUGUAAUAAAAGGCAAUAUAAAUUACUGAGGCGUUAAUUUUAAUUGAAGAAUAAUAUUCAAAUCGAAAUAGGAUCCUAUUCAGUUUAAAAAUAAACUGCAGGAUGUGCAGUUAUAAAUAUAACUCUUAAAAUUUAUUAAAGUAAAUUUUAAUAGAUAAAAAUACUAUUUAAUAACUUAAACUAGAUUAAAAAAUUGGAGGGGGAAUUUUUUAAUUAUAUUAAUAAUACUAUUAAUUUGAUAUUAUUGAAAAAAUCUAAAAUUAAUUCAAACUUCAAUAAUAUAAAACUUAUUUAUUAAUAAGAAAUAAUAUAAAAUAGUUAAAUGUGACUAAUUUUCAAUAUAACUAUAAAAUUAAUUUUGACAAUAAUAUUCUAUUGAAAUCAAAGUAGUUUGUAUAACAAAUGAAACUACAUAAAAAACCCAAAAAAAAUAUUUUUAUAAAAAAUAACUCACAUUAUUUCAUUAUAAUCAAUUCUAUGAAGAUCAUUAAUUUAAUAUUUUGUAAAAAAAAAUAUUGAAACAAAAUUAAGUGAAUGAAUGAAAAAUGUAAAUGUAAUAUCACAUACUUAACAUUAAAAGUCAUUAUAAUUGUUAUAUUCACAUUAGUUUAUAUUAAAUUUGAUCAGAUAUCACAUUUAUUAUCUGAUAAAAUAGUUUUCAAGAAAAAAUAUUUUUAACAAAUUUUAAACAAUGAAAGUUAAUAAAUAUGAAUUUAAUUAUUUUAAAUAUAUUCUCAAUUUCAAUCAUACAUUUAUAACAUCAUUUAAAAUUUUAUAACAAUUUGAAAAUAAUUAAAAUUACUUAAUUUGGAAUGACUAAUUUACACAUAAUUAUUUUGAGUUUCAAAAAAGUAUUUAUAAUAUUCGUAAAGUUUAAAAUUUGAUUAUAUAUAUUUAUAAAUUUCCUAAUAAAUUUUUAUCUUUUUAUUAGUUUAUUUUUUAUGUACAAACUCUAAGUACACUCACCCAUUUAUUUUUUUCAAAUCCCUUCUUCACCAAAUUUGUUUGUUGACGACAACAAUUAUUUAUUUAGAAGUAAAGAGAAAAUAAAAAUAUAUAAAUAAAGAAAAGUAACAAUAAAAAAUUGACUUAAUACAUUAGUUUAUAACAUGGACUUUUAAGAAAUAAUAUUGUGUCUAAAAAUUUAUUAUUUUACUUUUAAAAGUGUGUACGGUUUAUAAUUUUAUUAUAAAAUCAUAAAUUGACUCGAAAAGUAUAGGUCGAAUUGUCUUGUCACUUUAUAAAUAAUUGUAGUCAAACAAUGUAGCUCAAAUUAAUCUUUUUUUAUUGAAAAAAUCAUCGUCAUAUCUAAUUAAUUUAAUAUAUAUAUCAAUCUUUACGGGAACAAAUUUUCUAACCUAACAUCAAUCAAUCAAAUAUCUUAAUUUAAUAUUCAAAAUAUGCACUAAAAUAAUAUCAAUAAAUUUUAAUAAUAACUUUAAUUAAAAUAUUUUAUUCAUGCCAUAAAUAAAUAUUUUAUUCAUGUGGAAACUGCAUACUAUAUAUAAAGUCAAUAAAUAAGAAUAAGUCAUGAAAUGAUUGGUCCACAUAAAUAAAAUAAGUUGAAUAAAAAUUGUUAUGAAAUAAUAAUAUUACGUGUUAUGAAAUCUUCUUGUCCUUACUCUUUUAUUUAUUGGGCUGAAUCUCAAUAAAUAAAAAUAAUUGUUAUUUCUACUCCUCCUUCAUAUUAAUUCAUUUCCCUUUUUCAUUUUUUAUUACUAAAGUACCCUACUAAACACAUUGACGUCUCUUUCUUCUUCGUGUAAUUCUUCUGGAAGAAAAAGAAAAAAAGCACACUCCCCAUCCUUCUAUCCUAAUUAAACAGUGGAACCCCUUUCUUUCUCUUCUUUUCUCCGAUGAGGAGGCACGAUCUCUGAUUGUAACCCUCCUGCAUCAACUUUCCAAACCAAAAUUCCUCUUCUCCAUCUCCUUGGACCAAGGCAAAACUUCAAGGAUUGGAUAGAUCAGCGCAGCACACUAAUUCCAAGUAGCACAAAUUAGAUCCAACAACAUGCGAAGCAAACAACUGGAGUCGCUAAUUGAAUUCCAAAAACUAUAGUGUAAUUGUGAUGCAAUUUCAAACAAUUGAUCGCGAAUUGAACAGGUUGUUGGAGGUUGAUCGAGUGGCAUGGAAGGGGAGUGUGUUGUUCAGGAAAAGUGAUACGAAGGGGGAGGGUGUAUAAUAACUUUUUUAUGGAAAACUUUUUUUUAUGAAAUUUUGAAGGAAAACUUUAAUAUUGUACUUAAUGGAGCAAAAUAAAUUAAAUAAUAGCGGUGCCGCUAAUGGUUAUGAAAUUAGUUGCUUAAUUGUAAUUACGGUUAGUUGAAUGCGCAAGUUAUUUCCUUUUGUUGAAUAAUUAUGUAAAUAAACAAUUAAAAAUAUACCUAUCCAAAGAGAAGUUUGACCACUUGUUCCACUUGUUCUUGCAGUGUGAUUUUCUAUUCAGGAGGUGGUUGGGUUUUGCUAUGGUGCAGCACAAUGAAGUUCAGCAGCAUUAUUUGCAACAUGGUCUUCUGUUUCGGGGUAAGAAAUUUCGUAGGUUUCCUUAUUUGUUUUGGCACGCUCUAUGAAGCACAAUUACAUCUUUCUUGUUCAAAGUGUCUUUAUGUCCGACAUAUUUCUAAUACCAGCAUAUUCAAUACUGUUCGAUAUUUAUCUGACAUUUUAUUGAAUUUUUUUUUUACGUAAACACUCAAACUAUCACCUUUACAUAAUUAAUACACUUAAAAAAUAUAAAAUAUUAAUUUUAAAAAAUAAAAUAUAUCAUCAAUUUACAUAUUUUGUUCUAUAUUAUUCAUGUUUUAUUUAAUUAAAAUCUUUUUGUUUGUUAGUGUCUUAUAUUUUAAAUAUUAACCAUAUUGAAAUAUUUGUGUGGUGUUCGAUAUCGGUAUCAUAGUCGGUGCUUCACAGGGCAUGCUAUUUGCGAGUGUCUAUGGACUAUGGUUGCUGCGGAAUAAAGUGGUUUUCCAAAAUGUGAUUUCGGAUGUGUAUGGUAUGCUGUCGCACAUCCGACGUAUUUCUUGGAUUUGGCUAUACAGGGUCCCCUUCUCUGGUAGUGGUGGUGUAGUGUUUGGAAACUGGUGUAUUUGUCCCCUGGAUUGCUUACGGUGUGUAUGUUAGAGACCCUAUUAUGCUCCUUUAUUACGAUCUGAUGUAAUCUUUAUUGUAUUUGGGUCACAUUUUAUGGCUCUUAAUAAUAGUAUUUGAUUUUAAUUUUCAGAAAGAAAAAAAAACAAAAUAGUGUGUAUAAAAUUAUUAUAAACUUUUAGUAUAUAUAUAUAUAUAUAUGAUUCUUACUUAUAAAAAAAUAAUUACACCAAUAAAUUCAUCCUCAAAUAUUACGUUAUGAAAUCAGAGCUAUUUUAGUUAUGCAUAUGCAAAUGUCUUAAUUUUUUUUUCUUAACCUAUUUUUUUUAUUUGCUCUUCUAUAUAAAAUCACUCUAAUAAGAUUGUCUUCGCUGGAGUUUACCUGUAACUUAUACCAAAAAUUAUAAAAUCGCUCUAAGGGAAGAUAUGAGUAUGACUGAUCCCUUGUUAUAUUCAUGCAAAUUAUAUGGUGUGUUCGUUCUGAUAUAAAUCGAUAACGUUUAGUGGAUAUAAUUGUUAGAGAAAGUAGAAGCCUUAUCUUAUCUUGGUAUGUUAAAACGGUUUUAUUACAUUUUCUAUCAUUGCAAUUAAUCAUUAAACAAAAACAGAAAAUCCUAGCACAUAACAUAUAUAUGAACAUAACCAUAGAAGAGCGGCACGUACAUAUGUUGGCCUAGGAUCGUUGUUAAGUGUUAACGCUGGUCCAAAACAUGCAACAAACAACAACCAAGAAAAAAAAAAAAAAGGUACGUACAAAAAACCUAACGUGUCAUCAAACACAUGCAUGGGUUUUGCAUGCAAGCCUUGCAUGAAAAGCUUGCCAACACGUGCCAAACCACCUCCUCAGGUGUUGCCACCCAAGCCUCCACUCACCAAUUUCUCCAUUUAUACCCUCAUUACCACCACCUUAAACCCUACCACAUUAAUUACUCACUCUUCACUCAAAACUCUUGUCUUUCAUUUUGAUAAUUCCCACACUAUGGCUGAGCUUCACUACCAACAACAACACCAAUACCCUCACCGAUACCCUAAUGAUCCAUACGAACAACAAACUAGCUACUCCACUCAGGUCGUCAAGGCGGCCACCGCCGUCACCGCGGGCGGCUCCCUCUUGAUCCUCGCCUCGUUGAUCCUUGCCGGCACCAUCAUCGCCCUCACCAUCGUCACACCACCGCUCGUCAUCUUCAGUCCGGUUCUCGUCCCCGCGGUGAUCACCGUCGCGCUGCUGAGCCUGGGGUUCCUUGCCUCCGGCGGGUUCGGUGUGGCGGCGAUCACGGUGCUGGCGUGGAUCUACAGGUACGUCACCGGGAAGUACCCACCUGGCGCGGAUCAGUUGGACAGCGCGCCUCACAAGAUCAUGGACAAGGCGCGUGAGAUCAAGGACUAUGGACAGCAGCAAAUCAGUGGGGUGCAGGCUUCUUAAUCGUGUGCACGCACGCACCCGAUCAAAUCCAUCUCGUGG